rnacentral:piRNA from 1 species
GGCUGUGAAUGCAGUGUUGCCAGAAUGGAGU